GACGAACGCUGGCGGCGUGCCUAAUACAUGCAAGUAGAACGCUGAAGGAGGAGCUUGCUCUUCUGGAUGAGUUGCGAACGGGUGAGUAACGCGUAGGUAACCUGCCUGGUAGCGGGGGAUAACUAUUGGAAACGAUAGCUAAUACCGCAUAAGAGUAGAUGUUGCAUGACAUUUACUUAAAAGGUGCAAUUGCAUCACUACCAGAUGGACCUGCGUUGUAUUAGCUAGUUGGUGGGGUAACGGCUUACCAAGGCGACGAUACAUAGCCGACCUGAGAGGGUGAUCGGCUACACUGGGACUGAGACACGGCCCAGACUCCUACGGGAGGCAGCAGUAGGGAAUCUUCGGCAAUGGACGGAAGUCUGACCGAGCAACGCCGCGGGAGUGAAGAAGGUUUUCGGAUCGUAAAGCUCUGUUGUAAGAGAAGAACGAGUGUGAGAGUGGAAAGUUCACACUGUGACGGUAUCUUACCAGAAAGAGACGGCUAACUACGUG
rnacentral:rRNA from 1 species